rnacentral:rRNA from 1 species
AUUGAACGCUGGCGGCAGGCCUAACACAUGCAAGUCGAGCGGAUGAAGGGAGCUUGCUCCUGGAUUCAGCGGCGGACGGGUGAGUAAUGCCUAGGAAUCUGCCUGGUAGUGGGGGAUAACGUCCGGAAACGGGCGCUAAUACCGCAUACGUCCUGAGGGAGAAAGUGGGGGAUCCUCGGACCUCACGCUAUCAGAUGAGCCUAGGUCGGAUUAGCUAGUUGGUGGGGUAAAGGCCUACCAAGGCGACGAUCCGUAACUGGUCUGAGAGGAUGAUCAGUCACACUGGAACUGAGACACGGUCCAGACUCCUACGGGAGGCAGCAGUGGGGAAUAUUGGACAAUGGGCGAAAGCCUGAUCCAGCCAUGCCGCGUGUGUGAAGAAGGUCUUCGGAUUGUAAAGCACUUUAAGUUGGGAGGAAGGGCAGUAAGUUAAUACCUUGCUGUUU